CAGGUGGCGCAAACGCCCCUGCCCUCCGGCGCCCCCUGCCGGCGGCAGGGAAGGCGGCGGCAGCCGCGGAGGAGCGGGGCGCGGGCGGGGAGAGGGCUCCGGCGCCGGGGAGAAGCCGCGAGCCUCCCUGAUGGUGCGGCCGCCAGCGAGCCGGGGAGGGGCGUGGAGGCGGCAGCUGUGCAGGAGCCUGGGCCCGCUGCUGCUGCUUCUGGCUCUGGGACACACGUGGAGCUACCGGGAGGAGCCCGCGGACGGCGACAGGGAAGUCUGCUCAGAAAACAAAAUCGCCACGACCAAGUACCCGUGUCUGAAGCCCUCGGGCGAGCUUACUACGUGUUUCAGGAAAAAGUGCUGCAAAGGUUAUAAAUUUGUUCUUGGACAAUGCAUCCCAGAAGACUACGAUGUGUGUGCCGAGGCUCCCUGCGAACAGCAGUGCACAGAUAACUUCGGCCGAGUGCUGUGUACCUGUUACCCAGGAUUCCGGUAUGACCGGGAGAGACACCGGAAGCGGGAGAAGCCCUACUGCCUGGAUAUCGACGAGUGUGCUACCAGCAACGAGACGCUGUGUGCUCACAUCUGCAUCAACACCUUAGGCAGCUACCGCUGUGAAUGCCGAGAGGGCUACGUCCAGGAGGACGACGGGCAAACAUGCACAAAGGGAGACAAAUACCCCAGCGACACUGGGCACGAUGAGAAGGCCGAGAACGCGGUGAAAGCCGGGACCUGCUGUGCCACCUGCAAGGAGUUUCACCAGAUGAAGCAGACGGUGCUGCAGCUGAAGCAAAAGAUCGCCCUGCUCCCCAGCAGUGCUGCCCACCUGGGCAAGCACAUCAGCGACAACAAGGUGCUGGUCUCAAGCGCUUACCUCCCAGGACCUCCUGGCCUGCCCGGGGGCCAGGGCCCUCCCGGCUCACCAGGACCAAAGGGGAGCCCGGGCUUCCCUGGGAUACCAGGUCCUCCUGGGCAGCCUGGCCCGAGGGGCUCAAUGGGACCCAUGGGACCAUCUCCUGAUCUGUCCCACAUUAAGCAAGGCCGGAGGGGCCCUGUGGGCCCCCCAGGUGCACCCGGAAGGGAUGGUUCUAAGGGGGAGAGAGGAGCACCCGGGCCCAGAGGGUCUCCAGGGCCGCCUGGUUCUUUUGAUUUCCUGCUGCUCAUGCUGGCCGACCUCCGCAAUGACAUCGCCGAGCUGCAGGAGGAGGUGUUCGGGCACCGGACUCACUCUUCGGCUGAGGAGUUCCCUUUGCCUCAGAAAUUUUCCAGCUCCCCGGAGACCACGGACUUUGGCUCUGGAGAUGACUAUCCAAAAAAGUACUGAGACGGGAGACUUGGGAGCCCCCGGAGGCUUGUCCCCUUAGCACAUCCCAAGGUCGGCAUGCAAAGGAAGGGAAGAGAAGUGCCUUUUCACCUGCAGUUAAAUCAUCUAAAGAAAAAGAAGCCACUGGAGACCCAGAAAAGAUAUGUUUUUAUUUUCUUUACCUUUUUCUUGUCUUUUCCAUCCUCCUCUUCUUCCAAAUACUAGUUUCAGAGUCCCUUGCUAGAUGUGCUGGAGACAAGAGAAAGUGACUGAUGUAUAUGCUUCCCUCUGAGAGUCAGAUGGAGUCCGCUGGUCUACGUUGUAACUUUCCUUUUUCCAGGAGCUUCUGAUUUCUUUGAGUUAAGUAGUCUCACGGUGUCAUAAACUUUGGCAGACUAUUGAAAAGGGGAAAGCGGCCAGGUGAGCUCUGAGAAAAUGAGGUUACUUAUAAAAAACAAUAGAUAGGUGUCUGGAAUAGACUUCUACUCCUCAGUAUCAGAAUUAGGCCUCUUCGGUUAAAAAGGGGAGACAACAAUGUAUAAAUUUACCUGGGUGGAUAAUUCUUUAACCUUGUCAGUCUAAUAGGUUUGCAAUGUUCUGUCCUCUUGUCCAACCUUGUUUCACAAUUUUGGUUAAAGAAAUGAGAAAAUUAAGAAGCACAGAUCAGGGGAGAUGGAGAAAAAUGAUACAGUAGUAUAUUGACUGUCAUAGGGGUUGUCUCUUUCUAAAUUCUCAUAUGACUAUAAGGAUUCAUGCUACACUUUUCUGUAAGCAUAUUCAGAGAGGAGUGUUACGCUGGCUAUAGGAAUAAAUCCUCUAUUCAAAACAAAGUAAGUGAAUGAAGUAUCCUGAUUCACAUUAGAACAAUGAGCUCCUGGCUUGCCAGGACAUUUUAAAGCUGUUUGAGCAAAUGAGUGGGCUUGCUUAGUAAGUCACAGGUUAUUUGUUAAAUAAAGGUGGCUGUCCCUUAGGGAGAGGUGCAGAAUUCCCUGGCUCUGACCGAUUGCCCAGAACAUGCCGUGAGCCCAUGAGCCAGGUUGAAUCAAUGUGCAACGAGCUGAAGGCUGGAAGAAGGUUGCUGACUUGGGUUACUGGCAAAGGACAGGGAGAACCUGGAGCAGAGAUCCCACUGCAUCGGCAGGGCCAGGCUUUAUUCGAGGGCACUGAUGGCUGCUGAGACCCGCCCGAUUGACCCACACUACAUGUAAAUAUUCACACGAGUUUGAAACUGGAGUCUUCAUCCUAGAUGACACCACCUGUCCCAACUCUCACCCCUUUUAAGGAAAAGCAACCACCUGUACACACUGGGCUGUAAAACAAGGCCGCGAUCGUACUCCUGCUGCUGUCUCAUCUGCACUCAGAAUGGAAGAGGGCAGCUUGUUCUCUGGCCAGAUGUGGGCUGAGCUGCAGAACCCGGAGAACUGCAUUGUCCCUACCACAUGGACAAGCCCAGGAGCGAGGUUCUCAGGAGGAUGCUUGAGGAGCUAAGGUCUGCAUGGAUCCAACCCAAUCCCAUGCAAAUGCCCGAGACGCUGUGGAUCUGAAAACCGAGCUGCGACCCUUCACCUGGGCGUGACGGAGAGCAUCCUAUCGCCAUCAGCACCGGCCGUCAGAACUCUGUUGGCCAUCAGAACUGUUUUCAGAAAAGUGACAUCUCAGCUGUAACCAUUCUGGUAUUUCCCAACUAAUGUUGCCUCAGGGAACGCAUGUGAGGAAACCCAGACAUAGGCAGAGAUUUCCUUCAUGUGCCGGGGGAUGUGAAAAAUGAGAGAUGUGCAUGGCAAACCGCAUGUUGAGGUCAUUUGAUUUCAAAACAGGAGGGAGAAACACAUGCAUGUGUGGAUUUGCCUGCAAAGAGUCACAGUUUUUGGACCUCAGGCCCAUAACUGAGAUGAUGCUCCUGGCUCGGGGGAAGUCCGGAUAUCUCCGUAAUUAUUCUUGAUUGAGGUGACUCCCUUUGGAAGAAGGCAGAUGGAGGGGUGGAAGGAUAUAACAGCAGAAUUAAUUUUUUUGGCCAGAUCUGUCUUGUUCUGACUCAUAAGUCUGUGGCAGUCGGUCCAUGACACCAUGAAAACAUUUUAUAUGUGUUCUAUGAUUUCUAAAAUUGUUUUUAAAAAUCACUUAAAAUACUGUAUCUGUUCUUUGUGGCUUUAAAAUAAUCCCAUGGUGUAACAGAAGUGGGUGGGAAUAUAGAUAAACCAAGAUUGUCCAAGAGGGAGUUGAUAACUGUAAAAAACUGAGUUCACUAUAAUAUUCCCUUUACUUUUGCAUCUGUUUGAAAAUGAAAAUGUCUAUAAAAGACCUUUCAAAAUCACAUGAAGAUUAGCAUCUUCAAAAGGCGUUUGCUCGUUAUCACAUGGCAACAUUAUCUGUCCUAAGGUAAAGGUCACAGCCUAGCGCCCACCUGGGCUGCAGGUGGCUGUCAAUGGGGAGAUGCUCCGAGCCCCCCUUUCUCACGCAGUCCCUAUUUUACAAAACUGACUCUGUCCUGGAAAACAGCCAUACACUUUGGAUGAAAUGAAAUCCCAUUCUGUUUUUCACUCUUUGAUUUCCUUCCUUGCAUAAUGGACCUGAUAUUUGUGGAAGAAGCUGAGUUGUAUGCCCUGCGCUGCCAUUUCUGGGCAAGGUUUUUCCCCUAAAAUUUUCUGCUGGGCUGAUCUGUUUGGGGAUUUGUCAUAGUCAUUUCCUGACCAUCCCCUUGGCCAGAGGCAAAAAGCACUAGGAUUAGCUUCAGUCCCUAAGGAAAAAAAUUUUGAACUAAAAUGCUUUAGACGGAACUUGCUUAAGGCCCCUUUCCACACCAGCAGGCCCCACAAAUUUGUGCCAGCUUCUCUCCACUCCCUCUGGCCCUGAACAAAAGGAACCUGGGCGGAGUGGAACUCUGGAUCUUGUAGGAAAAGAUUCCAAAUAUUUUCCGUUUUUUUCCUGUCCCAUUGGUCAACUCAGGAACUUCUGAUUCUAAAUGAAUUUGAAACUUUGGUUUCCUGUAAACAAACACAGCAUCUCCAGUGGUAAAAGGAGAACUCUGUGGUCGGUUACUCUUUCUGGUAACAAAAUCUGCUCGCCUACAGAGAACCCAUUUGACAUGGUCGGGGGAUGGCUGAGCCCCCUUCCACCACAGAGGUGGGCACCGGCCUCUCCACAUGGCAUCUGCCACCAGGCAAGGCCUAGAACACAGGGUGUACCCCAGCAGCUUUCAGGCUCUUUUAUCAGAGCCCCCUUUUAUACUUUUAAAUACUAUUCUGAAAAGAUGGGGACUAGUGAUAUUUUACUUUCUUUGGCUGUGGUAUUGAGUAGCAUUGAGUGGCUGCUUGUCCUUAAACAUGCUUUUCUUCCCCUCCAAACCUCUAAGCUUGGAAGGAAGGCAGUUAAAUGCUGCAGUUUAAGUGCUUGCAUACUUGCUGUUUGGGAAUUUGCUUUCCCCAGCUCCCACUUUUGUCAGAAGACUCCAGUGCUUGUCAGCAUCCCCAGAGGCAUCUGAGAGGGACACGCCUAGUAAGAGGACAGGAGAAAAGGGGGACAUCAGCCCUUUGCUUCUCAAACAUAAGUGUACAUCAGAAUCACCUGGAGGGCUUCCUGAAACACUGCUGCACCCCAGGACCGGAGCCUGGGAUUCAGUAGGUCUGGGCUGGGGUUGGAAGAUUUGCAUUUCUAUUUAGUUCUCUGAACCACGCUUUCAGAACCCCUGCAUUAGACUAUAACUAGAAGUAAUAUGUAGGUGGCUUCUUUCAGUAUUGGUCUCCUCUUUGACCAGAGGAAGUGUAACCAGACAAAAAUAAUUAACAUGUGUCAAGGUACUCUACCCAAAGCAGAAUUGAAGAGAGAGGUGAAUGAAAAUAGAAAGAGUCCUUCAGAAUGCAUAUUAAAAGGUGGUGGGACCGGGAGGCAAUGGUCCUUUAGAGGAGGCUCUGCAGAGGCAUAAUCGAAGGGCAAGCAGUGGAGUUGGGAGGGGAAGCAGGAGCUUGGGAAAGAGGCUAAGGUUUAGCUAUGCAAUUGUGAAAGAGGUAGGAAAGAAAGAAGUCAAUUUCUUUUUAAAGAAUGGAGUUACUGUGAAACUGUUUUGGCAGAUGUGAACAUAGAUCCUCUCUGUGACAUGUACCACUUGGAAAAUUAGCACAACUACCAUGGCUUCAUAAGCACCAACUGAUUAAAUCAAGUUUAGCGUUGCAGUCGGAUCGACUGUGUGGACAGAUAGUCUUUGUUCUGCAGCCCUGCAGUUUGCCUAUAGGAUGCAGACUUGUUGAAGGAUUACUUGAAACAUUUUUUAAAAUGUAUCAGAGCAAAGAACACUAAUUUGAAUAGUUCCAAAUUUAUGUUUGCCUCUCACCAGUUCAGGCAGAAUGCACAGUACUGCUGAGUAUUUUCUUUUCCAGAUAUAGAACCCCUGCCAGGAUUCUAUUUUGUUUAGUUUUCAUUUCUUUCAUAUUUUAGGAUGAGGAAUAUUUGGGAGAUAUAUUCAAAUAUGUUGAUCACAUUUAAGCAAUCAUUUGAAAUUCUUAUUUCUUUCCAAGAAGUCGUGUAGGACUUCUGCAGUCACCUUAUCCCAAAACAGUUCCUGUUUCCAAGAAUAGUUUGAAGUAGAUAUUCAGAAACCUGCCUUUUGUGAACCUUAACAUGAGGGAUAAAAUUUUUUUAAAACACCCUUUUAAAUGGCUGAUCGACCUGAUAUGAAAUUAAGAGAAUUAUUUGGCAAUCAAAUAUGACAACUCCAGUGAGGCAAGUGGGAAUUUGAGUUGGCAUCUACCCCUGAGUAUCUGCUACCCCUUGGUCACCUGGAAACUCCAUUUUACUGGAUCGUGAACACGUGGACUGGAAACUAAGCCUGGGCAGAGCAGGGGUGUUAUGGAUUUAACGAUGCCCACCCCCUAAAAUUAUAUACUGCAGCCCUAACCCCCCCUAGUAUACCAGAAAGUAACCUUAUUUGGAAAUAAGGUCAUUGCAGGUGUGAUUAUUUUAAACAAGAUUUAUUAGGUGAGCCCUACUCCAAUAUGACUAGUGUCCUUACAAAUGGAGAAAUUUGGACACAGACAUGUGUACACAAGGGCGAACUGUCAUAUGAGGAUGAAAGCAGAGAUCAAGGUGGUGUGUCUACAAGCCAAAGAGGGCCCAAGGUGGCCAGCAAACCCCUGGAAGCUAGUGGGGAGCCUGGGAAGAGAUUCUGUCUCACCAAACAACCCUGUGAUGCCUUGAUAUCAGACUUCUAGCCUCCAGAACUGUGAGAGAAGAACUUCCGCUGUUUAAGCCACCCAGUCUCUGGGGUUUGUCAUGUCAACCUUGGCAAAUGAGUGAAAGCGGGGGCAACUGGAUUGGACGUCCCCUCCCACAAGCCUGCCCUGUGGACAAAUGAAGCAGAGAAAGCGCCCAUGAGGAAAACCAGUCAAGAUGUAGUCAUCGCAUCUGAUUGUAAACUACCUCUGUGGUGCAAAAUACUCUGCGAUGAAAUUUGGUUUAAAACGGUGCCAGGUUGAUAGUGUUGUUCUCAGGUACCUAGCAGACAAUGCAAAUCCCUCUGGAUGAACAUAGUUUCAACCCAGUCCUCAAAGAAAAGUCCCCUGGAUAACUUUCCAAGAAAUAUGAACCCCUGGUCAAAAUUCAUUAAACACACCAGGAAACAAGAAUGAGCAUUGAUGGAAACAAUCAAGUGCUGAGAGAAAUCUGUACAGAACCCAGACAUGGAAACUUUAGACACAAAUAUAAAAUAAGUAUGUUUAAUACAAUUUAAGAAAAAAGGCAUUGAAAAGAGGAGAAACAUGAGAUUAUCAAGUUCAAUCAGAGAGAUUUGGAAAAGAAAACUCUCACAAAUGAAAGAUAUAAUCAUUAUGCUUAAAUGAGAUGACUGGUUAAAACAACAGGUAAGAUACAGCAGACCUGGAAGAGAGAGCUGAAGAAAUUAUGCAGAAUGCAGACAAAGACAUGAGAAAUAUGGAGAAAUAGACAUAUGGGGCAAUAUGGCAAAGACCAAAAUAUAACUAAUGGAAUUCUAGAUGGAAGUAUUAGAAAGAAAGUUGACAGAGCAAUAGUUGAAGAGAAAAUGGCUGAGAAUUUUUCCUAAGUUGUUGAAAGGCAUCACUUCUCAGAUUCAGGAAGCCAAAUAAAGUGCAAUUACAUAGAAAAGACACACAUCCAUACAUACAUUAUAGUAAAACUGAAGAAUACCAGGAAAUCCAAAAAUACAAAUACAGGAAUGAAUAGACAAAACUACCAAUAUUUGUAAAACAUGUAAUCUCAAAACACCCAAGAGAUCAUAACAAACAAGACUGAUAAGUUUCAAAAAAGUGAGCAGAUAUAAAAUCAAAAUGCAAAUAUCCGUGGCUUUGCCAUGUGCCAGCCAUUAGCAAUUAGAACAUCGUUUUUAAAAGAUUCUAUUUAAUGUAGCAGGGAACACUGUAAAGGGUACAGGAGCAAACCUAACAAAGGUAUGAGAAUUUGAUGUAGAAACUGUGCAACCUUCCUAAGAAACACUCAAAAACAAAUGACAAAUGGUGAUACACCAGGUCCUUCAGUAAGACUUAAUAUUCCAAGUUUUUCUGUUUUCCCAAAACUAAAACAGAAGUUCAAAACAACCCCAAACUAUAUUUCAAUGGGAUUUUCUUGGAACUUGACAAGCUGAUCUUAAAAUUCCUAAAGGAGAGUAAAACCACAAAAUUAGCCAUGCAAUUUUGAAAAUAAAAAAUAUGCAAAUAUUUCCCCAAUCAAAUAUUAAAACAUUAACAUAAUGAUACCAAAUUAAAAGCGUAGUAUUUUUUUAUACCAAUAGGUGAGCAAGUAGAAAAAUCAAUCAUGGAUAGACUAGGUCUCAGAAAUGGACUUAUAUAUGUAUUGAAAUUUACUAUAUAAUAAAAUUGGCAUUUCAAAUCAUUGGGUAGACCAUUACCUAAUGUUAGAAUAUAGACUUUCGAUUAGGAAAACUAAGUUUACUUUUUGUUUUUUGUUUGUAUUGAGGUGCAUACAAUAAAAUGUAUGGACCUUAGUGUAUAGCUCGAUGUGUGUACACACUCAUGUAGCUAUCACCCAGGUCAAAAUAUCAAGCAUUCUCACUAAUAGAAAAACCAGGUUUAGUCCUUACUUCACACCACUAACACAAGUUAAAUCCAGUUAGAUUAAACAGAAACAUAAAAACUCAAAAGCAUUAAAAGAAAAUGCUUUAUAAAAUUUUUUAUUUUUCUGUUAUAUAAAAAGGAACCUAUAUGUAAUGACCUUACUGUAUAUGAAGACUUUUUAAUUGUCCCAUAAAAAAUUAAAAGCCAUAAAGGAAAAGUUUUAAAUUUGACUACCUGAAAUGUACAAAUUAGAUCUACUGUAAUACUUUUAUUUAAAUGGAGAAAUUCCCAUAUAAUGAUAAGAGGACAGUUUUGUAAAAAGAAAGGCUUAAUGGGCAAUUAAGCUUGAUGGAUAAACAUGAGAUGCUCAGACUCACUAAGAAUCAGGGAAAUGCAAUCUUUUUUAAUUAAGAUAGUCUCAUUCAAGAGAAUGCCGAAGUUUAAAAGUGGUAAUGACAAGAGUUGGUGAAGACGAAGGGAAAGGCACAUGUUGUUGGUAAGUAUAUAUGUUUUGGAAGGGCACUUUAGCUCUAUCAUUAUUUUUAAUGUGCAUUCCCUAUGACCUGGCAAGUCUCUCCUUGAAACCUUACAUGUGUGCGUUAAGAAUUAUGUACAGGGAUCUUUUAAUACAGCAUUGUUUAGAAUACCAAACAACCUGAAAACAAACCAAGUGUCCAUUACUAGGGCAAUAAUUGUGUAAACUGUAAUAUACUCAUUUUAUAGAAUACUUGUAAAAAAACUUUCCCUGCCCUUACAUGGACAGAGUUUUCUAUUGUAUUGUUAAGUUGGCUGGUUGGGGGUGGACGGCAUGCAAUUUGAAGACUUUGCAUUGUUUGUGUAAAGAUACACAUAAAACAUACCACAUGUUCAAGGUAGGAAAGUGAAUAGGUAGAAAAGAUCUCAACAGAUACCUUUUACUUCUGGGGAGUGUAUUUGGAUAAUGUGAGGAGAUGUUGGGAAGUAAGAUGACUUUCCUGUAAAUUUUUCAUUUGUAUGAGGAGAACAAGUAUAUGAAUUAAUGUGAAAUUUAUCUUUUUAAUUGCAAGCAAAUGCGAAGUGUGAAAAUUCAUUUUUUAUGAAAAGCAAAAUUAUAGAUUUAGUCUUCUCAGCAAUAAAACAAUGUGCAUUGGAACC